GGUCUUGCCUGCCCUGUGACAUUUGUUUAACGGCCGCGGUAUUUUAACCGUGCGAAGGUAGCGUAAUCACUUGUCUUUUAAAUGAAGACCUGUAUGAACGGCAUAACGAGGGAUAAGCUGUCUCCUCUUUCAAGUCAAUGAAAUUGAUCUUUCCGUGCAGAAGCGGAAAUUUAAACAUAAGACGAGAAGACCCUAUGGAGCUUCAGAUACUAUGGCAGCUUAUGUUAACCUCCCCUCCCAAUAAAAGAGAGAAGAAACUAAAUUACUCUACCCUGAUAUCUUCGGUUGGGGCGACCACGGGGGAAUAAAUAGCCCCCACGCGGAACUGGGGGAACUUCUCCUACAACUAAGAGUUACAACUCUAAUUAACAAAAAUUCUGACCAACAGACCCGGCAAUGCCGAUCAACGGACCAAGUUACCCUAGGGAUAACAGCGCAAUCUUCUUUUAGAGCUCUUAUCGACAAGAAGGUUUACGACCUCGAUGUUGGAUCAGGACAUCCUAAUGGUGUAGUCGCUAUUAAGGGUUCGUUUGUUCAACGAUUAAAGUCCUACGUGAUCUG
rnacentral:rRNA from 1 species